UACGAAGGGGGCGAGCGUUGUUCGGAAUCACUGGGCGUAAAGGGCGCGUAGGCGGCCCUCCUAGUCGCGUGUGAAAGCCCCGGGCUCAACCUGGGAACGGCGCGCGAAACGGGGGGGCUGGAGUUCGGGAGAGGAGCGUGGAAUUCCCAGUGUAGAGGUGAAAUUCGUAGAUAUUAGGAAGAACACCAGUGGCGAAGGCGGCUUACUGGUCCGGAACUGACGCUGAGGUGCGAAAGCGUGGGGAGCAAACAGG
rnacentral:rRNA from 1 species